rnacentral:rRNA from 1 species
UACAGGGGGGGCAAGCGUUGUUCGGAAUUACUGGGCGUAAAGGGCCAGUAGGCGGCCAACUAAGUCCGACGUGAAAUCCCAAAGCUUAACUUUGGAACUGCGUCGGAUACUGGAUGGCUUGAAUCCGGGAGAGGGAUGCAGAAUUCCAGGUGUAGCGGUGAAAUGCGUAGAUAUCUGGAGGAAUACCGGUGGCGAAGGCGGCAUCCUGGACCGGCAUUGACGCUGAGGAGCGAAAGCUAGGGGAGCAAACGGG